GACGAACGCUGGCGGCGUGCUUAACACAUGCAAGUCGAACGGAAAGGCCCUGCUUUUGUGGGGUGCUCGAGUGGCGAACGGGUGAGUAACACGUGAGUAACCUGCCCUUGACUUUGGGAUAACUUCAGGAAACUGGGGCUAAUACCGGAUAGGAGCUCCUGCUGCAUGGUGGGGGUUGGAAAGUUUCGGCGGUUGGGGAUGGACUCGCGGCUUAUCAGCUUGUUGGUGGGGUAGUGGCUUACCAAGGCUUUGACGGGUAGCCGGCCUGAGAGGGUGACCGGCCACAUUGGGACUGGGGUACGGGCCCGACUCCUAAGGGGGGCAGCAGUGGGGAAUAUUGCACAAUGGGCGGAAGCCUGAUGCAGCAACGCCGCGUGCGGGAUGACGGCCUUCGGGUUGUAAACCGCUUUCGCCUGUGACGAAGCGUGAGUGACGGUAAUGGGUAAAGAAGCACCGGCUAACUACGUG
rnacentral:rRNA from 1 species